rfam:Polaribacter irgensii 23-P scf_1099646005584 genomic scaffold, whole genome shotgun sequence.
UUUAAUAAUUGAGGUCGAGAACCUCCACAAAUUAACA